AAUGGUGCAGUCCUAUGACGUCACUAGAAAUAAGCGUGUACGGUACUUCAGAAGAUGGGACCUCGGAAAGCAAACUCCGAAAACUCCGAAAGCCGACCAGCGACUCCAUCGGGACGCGGGACAAUUGAAGGCUCUGACAACGUAAAGCGCAGUCUUCGCGCGGAACGUAAAUAACAACAGCGGAACGACCAUACAAGGGCAGAGGCCCUGGAAGGAGCGCCCCCCGCCCCCAUUACACCAACGUACCACUCCGGACCGCUGCCGCACACAACAUAAUGACAACAUUCAUGUGUGAGCGGUCGAAGAGGGGAAACAGCAUCCUGACCACUUCCAACAACAACCUCAAAUGGAGGCCACUGAUGACCUUUCUGCUGCCAACUCGGACCUUGGCCAGCUUCGCCCCAUGUAACAGGGCGAGGAUGGCAGGAUCUGAUAUUUUGGUCAAGGCUGUCUGAAGGACGCUCUGGAGGAGUUUUGGAAUGCCCGACCACAGGGCAUUUAGUUGCAUGUCUGGGCCCAAAGACAGCAGGGGCCGACACUCCGUCCCACCCGGGAGCGUCUCCUCCUGGUCCGCCAGUAAUGCGACAAACCACAGAGGGCAAACCACCCACUCGCAGCAAACGGAGAAAAUGACAAGCCUCGAGGCGCAGGGGAUGACUUCCACCACCGGUGUGGGCGAGCAGUGCCGCCGCAGACGCGCCAGGUUGAUGGCGACUGCGCCCCGGAGCUUCGGAAGGCUGCUGCCACCUUCUGGACGUCUAGGUGCGGACCAUCCCGCAGACACAUGGACGCGAAAAAAUCACUGCAAGAGCUGAAAGGCAUUUUUAAAACGGUAAGUGACAAAUGCUAAAUUGAACCAACUUCAUGGCAAUUCAGACAUACCCCUCCCCUAGCAACAAACAAAUACACGAUGAGUGUGGAUUUUGUUUUGGCAUCGACAACAGGGUACGAAUGUACAUUGCUUGACAUUGUACAAUGCAUUCAAUAAAACAAGUACAAAAUUA